rnacentral:pre_miRNA from 1 species
GUUGUACUCCCUCCGUCCCAAAAUUCUUGUCUUAGAUUUAUGUAGAUACGGAUGAAUCUAAUACUAAAACAUGACUUGAUACAUCCGUAUGUAGACAAAUCUAAGACAAGAAUUUUGGGACGGAGGGAGUACCAA